AAUGUCGACGAAUUGACAUAAUAGGCCCAGAAUUGACAGCAAUACAUAAACAACAUACAAGUUCCUGGCAACUAAACAAGAAUGGACGAAAAACUCAAAUAUUCGUUGUUACGAGAUCCCAACGAUGACAUCAGCAUUUGGACAAGGCAUGAAAAGCGUCUGUGGUUCAUGACAUUGUUGAUGGGAACGUGUAUGCUGUACGCGACACGAACAUCAGUUCCUUUUGUUACUGCCAGCUGUUUCUAGCGAAUUUCGAUGGAGCAAAACGGUUUUGGGUGGAUACUUUAGCGAUCGAAUGGGUGGCCAACACAUAAUAUUUGUAGCGGCUAUUAGUUGGUCAUUGAUCACAUUUUGGAUGCCAGAAUUGCUUGUACUAACACCGCGACAAUGGUAUUACACCAUUCUUUUUAUAGUGACAAUAAGAAUAUUGAAUGGCGCCUUACAAGGCGUUCAUUUUCCCAGCAUGAUCAGCAUCACUAGUCAGUAUUUAAAUUCAAGUGAGCGUUCUAGUUUCUUUAGAAUGGUAACGUCGGGUUCGACGCUUGGUACACUGUUGACCGGCAUCCUAGGAUC